rnacentral:rRNA from 1 species
UACAGAGGGUGCGAGCGUUUGUCCGGAAUCACUGGGCGUAAAGGGCGCGUAGGUGGCGAUCCAAGUCCAUGGUGAAAGCUCGAUGCUCAACAUCGAGUCGGCCACGGAUACUGGGUUGCUUGAGCACUGUAGGGGCAGAUGGAAUUCCGGGUGUAGCGGUGGAAUGCGUAGAGAUCCGGAAGAACACCGGUGGCGAAGGCGGUCUGCUGGGCAGUUGCUGACACUGAGGCGCGACAGCGUGGGGAGCGAACAGG